CCUACGGGUGGCAGCAGUGGGGAAUAUUGCACAAUGGGGGAAACCCUGAUGCAGCGAAGCCGCGUGAGUGAAGAAGUACUUCGUUAUGUAAAGCUCCAUCAGCAGGGAAGAAAAUGACGGUACCUGAGUAAGAAGCUCCGGCUCACUACGUUCCAGCAGCCGCGGUAAGACGUAGGGGGCAAGCGUUAUCCGGAUUUACGGGGUGUAAAGGGAGAGUAGACGGCAUUGCAAGUCUGGGGGGAAAGGCGGGGGCUCAACCCCCGGACUGCUGUGGAAACUGUACGGCUGGAGUGCAGGAGAGGUAAGUGGAAUUCGUAGUGUAGCGGUGAAAUGCGUAGAUAUUAGGAAGAACACCAGUGGCGAAGGCGGCUUACUGGACUGUAACUGACGUUGAGGCUCGAAAGCGUGGGGAGCAAACAGGAUUAGAUACCCCGGUAGUC
rnacentral:rRNA from 1 species